rnacentral:rRNA from 1 species
UACGUAGGGGGCUAGCGUUGUCCGGAUUUAUUGGGCGUAAAGAGCGUGUAGGCGGCCAGGUAGGUCUGCUGUGAAAACUCGAGGCUCAACCUCGAGAUGUCGGCGGAAACCAUCUGGCUAGAGUCCGGAAGAGGAGAGUGGAAUUCCUGGUGUAGCGGUGAAAUGCGCAGAUAUCAGGAAGAACACCCGUGGCGAAGGCGACUCACUGGACAACUGUUGACGCUGAGGUGCGAAAGCGUGGGGAGCAAACAGG